CUUAACUUUUCUCCUAGUGGUGCUCCGAGGGUUGCUAGGCCUUCCCUCAGGUCUGGAAGGCUGUACAUCAGGCUGGACCAGGCCCACUGGUCUAACAGGCCGUCUGGGUUGCUGAGGGUUGCUAGGCCUCCCCUCAGGUCUAGUGAUGCUGACAGGGAUUCUAGGUAUCAUUGACUCAGGCUGGUACAGGCUCUCUGGGCUGCUGGGCCGGGAAUCAGGCAGAAGCUUGUAGUUCUUCAGAACCUCAGUGAAGGAAAGCUCCUUGUUGCGCCUGCAUCUGUUGGUUUUGGCAGGUAGCUGGGAGCUGCUGCUGUUAAACCAACCGGGAGACUCACGACAUCCAUCCUGGGCAGGAACCAGGGACUGGAGGUCUCUCCUCUUUCUGUGGGCAGCUGUGGGCCUCUUGGACCUGACGUCAUCAGGAGGGGGAGCACGGGGUACAACAUGCAGGGAGGGGAACGCUGAGGGCCUGAAAGAGGAGGCCAUCACUGGGGCCUGGCUGACCUCUUCUCUCUCCAGCAGCACUCUGUUAGAAGGACAGAGCAGCGAAACACCGAUGGACCUUGGUCCUCCAGACCCAUUCAGGUUGGGCCUCCUAUUCAUCAUUCACUGGUCUGCAGUAUUCUAAUCAGAAUGCUCCU
ensembl:lncRNA